rnacentral:rRNA from 1 species
CCUACGGGAGGCUGCAGUGAGGAAUAUUGGUCAAUGGCCGGAAGGCUGAACCAGCCAUGCCGCGUGAAGGUCAGUGCCCUAUGGGCGUUAAACUUCUUUUGUGCGGGAGCAAUAAUGGUCACGUGUGGCCAGACGAGAGUACCGUACGAAUAAGCAUCGGCUAACUCCGUGCCAGCAGCCGCGGUAAUACGGGGGAUGCAAGCGUUAUCCGGAUUUAUUGGGUUUAAAGGGUGCGUAGGCUGGGAGGUAAGUAAGCAGGGAAAUGCCCCCGCGCAACGGGGUGAAGUGCCAUUGAUACUGCCUUGCUGGAGUGCGGAUGCCGUGGGAGGAAUGUGUGGUGUAGCGGUGAAAUGCAUAGAUAUCACACAGAACACCGAUUGCGAAGGCAUCUCACGAAUCCGCGAUUGACGCUGAUGCACGAAAGCGUGGGUAUCAAACAGGAUUAGAUACCCGAGUAGUC